GGCCCUGCCUGUGUCACCUGCACAGCAUCCUGGGGAGACUUCGCCUGUGGGUCAUGAGCCUUUCCACAGUGAGGUGGAGCAUGAAGACCUCCAUGGGUGACAGGCCUUGCAAGCGCUGUGUUCGAGACAGACCUGUGUAUGUCCUUGAAUCACUUGUCACGCUGGGGAUGAAAGUCCAGGAUCUCAGAGGUCAACCCCGGAAGGAGCCAUCGACAGCUGCCAGCCCAGCCUCCAGGUCAGUGGAGGCGGCAGGCACACAGGAGGAAAGGGUGUGGGUGAUGGUGGCCAGCGGUGCAGAACCCAGAGUCCUGCAGCUCCCUGCAGGUGUCCACCUGGCCCCGGCCCCGGGACUGUCAUGGCUGCAGGCUGUUGGCUCCAGGAGGCUGUGGCCUCUCCACCAGCUGACCCCCUUUCUAGGCUCAGGAGAAGGGUUUGUGAGGAAUUCACCAUUUGUUCUUCAAAUGUUUUGCAUUUUUCCUGGAAAUUGGAGUGAUCCCAGAAGGGCCUGGAGCUGCCGGCCUGACCUCGGCAGGAUGCAGCAGUGCUGGCUGUGGAGUCUUCGAUUCUGAGGCAGCCUUUCCAGGAAUUGCUGCUUGGUGCCCUGAGGCUGCAGGACCAGGAUCAAGGGUGGCUGCUGCUGGGGGUGCAGGUGGGGUGGAGUAAAGCCGGAAGUGAAGCCCCUGCGGGGUUUCUCAGCCCACCGGGCCCUUCCCAGGGGCUUCUGAGGCUUUGGCUUCCUGAACAGUGAGUGGCCAUAGCACUGCUAUGGAAUUGAGCUGCUGUACGACUUAGGGGAAGGCCCUGCAAGUCUCUGAGCCUCUGCUUUCUUGUCUUUAAACAAGAGAAUGGGAAGUGAAUGGCACAUUGGAAACUCAGCACUCUGGGAAGCUGAGGCAGGAGGAUUUCAAAUGACUUGAAAUUUCAAAUGACUUGAGCCCAGCCAGCCUGGAAAUUUAGGAGUUAAGAGAGAUGUCUCAAAAAAAAAGCAAGGGAGGUGAAGAGUGGAGAUGUUUUCCAUGCUGCUUGCCCAGUGGUCACUCUGGCCUGAAUCACCAUGGUGGAUGGCUUUCUUCACCUUUCUGGGUCUUAGAUUCUGCUUUCAGUUGGUGCGCAUGCGUGAGUGAGGUAGGACCAAGCCUGCAGAGCCUGGAGGGGCUGGGGGCUCUGGGUGUGGUCCCAGCUAUGCACCCUGCCCUGUGCUUUGCUGCCUGGCUCUUCUUAGGCCUGGGGCCUGUCCAAGUCAAGCUGGGCCCUCCGUCUUUGGCCUAGACUGGGUGCUCACUGUCUCCCACUCUGGUUCCUUCUCUUCCCUUCUCCUGCUUGGGGCAAUGGCCUUGGCCCUGGAUUUGGGGCCCUGCUCACUUGGCCUGGCUGCCUGCCUGAGCCCCAGGGUGGGACUCGGGCCCUCACAGCCACCCCUUCUGCUGCCCUUCCCUAGCCCAGCCUCUCCCAGGCAUCUCCAUCAGAGCAUCCCGGGCAGACCACAUGGCAUGCCACUCUCUGCCAAAGGCACUGUGAGCCACUGGGCCUUUGGGCUUGGACCCCCACUCUAUGCCCCCGGCUCCUCUGUGGUGAGGAUUGCCCAAGACUGGGUUGGUGUGCUCGCUGUGUCCCUGUUGUCAGGGGUGAUGCCUUCCUCCCCACUUGCUCUGGUGGACUUCCAGGCCCUGCCCCUGCAGGGUCCCCUUCCACCCCCCAAGGGGCGCUCCCAUAAAGGAAGGGCACCGAGGAACGAGGAGUUUGCUGUGACACAGUGGAGGUGCAGAGUGGUCAGGGAACCAUGGAGCUUUGAGGUUUGGGAGUGAGAGGCAGGAAGAGUAGGAGACGAGCAGACCCCAGCCUGGGCCUGAGGCUUCCAUCCAGGCAGCAAAGGCUCC
rnacentral:lncRNA from 1 species